ACGAGUAACUUCUGCUUUCUCCUACUGAUCCUCCACCGAAGAUUAAAUUUAUCACCCUUCUUUUGUGGUCAGUGUCUGACUCGGGACUCCUUGAGCGUUGGCGCUUACCCUUGUUUUUUGGGUCCUUGCAGCCUUGUCGCCCCCUUUCUAUUUUGUUUAUGUAUUGUUUCAGCUUUCCUUCCUUCACUUGUGUGUCUAGGAAGGUACUUAGCUCCCUGCAGUUUUCUGUGUUGUGCCUCUAAUCCUUGGGAUUUUUUUUAAAAAAGUCUAUCCCGAUGUUGGAAUUUUUUUUUUUUUUUU
rnacentral:lncRNA from 1 species